GAUGAACGCUGGCUGCGUGCCUAAUACAUGCAAGUCGAGCGAACGGACGAGAAGCUUGCUUCUCUGAUGUUAGCGGCGGACGGGUGAGUAACACGUGGAUAACCUACCUAUAAGACUGGGAUAACUUCGGGAAACCGGAGCUAAUACCGGAUAAUAUUUUGAACCGCAUGGUUCAAAAGUGAAAGACGGUCUUGCUGUCACUUAUAGAUGGAUCCGCGCUGCAUUAGCUAGUUGGUAAGGUAACGGCUUACCAAGGCAACGAUGCAUAGCCGACCUGAGAGGGUGAUCGGCCACACUGGAACUGAGACACGGUCCAGACUCCUACGGGAGGCAGCAGUAGGGAAUCUUCCGCAAUGGGCGAAAGCCUGACGGAGCAACGCCGCGUGAGUGAUGAAGGUCUUCGGAUCGUAAAACUCUGUUAUUAGGGAAGAACAUAUGUGUAAGUAACUGUGCACAUCUUGACGGUACCUAAUCAGAAAGCCACGGCUAACUACGUGCCAGCAGCCGCGGUAAUACGUAGGUGGCAAGCGUUAUCCGGAAUUAUUGGGCGUAAAGCGCGCGUAGGCGGUUUUUUAAGUCUGAUGUGAAAGCCCACGGCUCAACCGUGGAGGGUCAUUGGAAACUGGAAAACUUGAGUGCAGAAGAGGAAAGUGGAAUUCCAUGUGUAGCGGUGAAAUGCGCAGAGAUAUGGAGGAACACCAGUGGCGAAGGCGACUUUCUGGUCUGUAACUGACGCUGAUGUGCGAAAGCGUGGGGACCAAACAGGAUUAGAUACCCUGGUAGUCCACGCCGUAAACGAUGAGUGCUAAGUGUUAGGGGGUUUCCGCCCCUUAGUGCUGCAGCUAACGCAUUAAGCACUCCGCCUGGGGAGUACGACCGCAAGGUUGAAACUCAAAGGAAUUGACGGGGACCCGCACAAGCGGUGGAGCAUGUGGUUUAAUUCGAAGCAACGCGAAGAACCUUACCAAAUCUUGACAUCCUUUGACAACUCUAGAGAUAGAGCCUUCCCCUUCGGGGGACAAAGUGACAGGUGGUGCAUGGUUGUCGUCAGCUCGUGUCGUGAGAUGUUGGGUUAAGUCCCGCAACGAGCGCAACCCUUAAGCUUAGUUGCCAUCAUUAAGUUGGGCACUCUAAGUUGACUGCCGGUGACAAACCGGAGGAAGGUGGGGAUGACGUCAAAUCAUCAUGCCCCUUAUGAUUUGGGCUACACACGUGCUACAAUGGACAAUACAAAGGGCAGCGAAACCGCGAGGUCAAGCAAAUCCCAUAAAGUUGUUCUCAGUUCGGAUUGUAGUCUGCAACUCGACUACAUGAAGCUGGAAUCGCUAGUAAUCGUAGAUCAGCAUGCUACGGUGAAUACGUUCCCGGGUCU
rnacentral:rRNA from 1 species